CCUUGAGGUUUCCACUUGCUUUCCAGAGACUGUUCCUCUGGGCUGGACAUGACUUUUGUGAACCUGUUAUCUUAUUCUACCCUAAUUCAGCAAUCAUGUAUUUCUUUUCCUCCCAUUGUGUUCAUAGUUACACCUAAAUGUUCACCCUGUGCUUCAUUGGGGCAGCAAUAGAUGAGAGACAACCUACAAGUACCAUACUGCAGCAGAGGAAGUUCUAGCUCCCUUUAGAAAAGCACGGAAGGCCUCCACCUUCUUAUUUAACAGUGCAUCACCUACUCUGGAUCUCAGACUCAAUGUAAGAACUCCUUAAGCAGUGUUUGAGGAUGGUUACUACUAAUUCAGUAACUAAUAUCAUGUAAUCAGUCUCUAAAGUCAAGACUGAGGCUACUGAUGUCAGUAACAGAUCAUUCAUUCAUUCAUUCAUUUUAGAGUUACUGAAUCAAUGUGGUUGGUAUUUAGCUUGCGGAGGUGAAAAAGCUAACUCAGCCUUCAUAUACAGUGUUAACUGGGAUUCUAACCAGGAUCCCUUGUUUCAUAUUGCAUUAGUGAUUGAUUCCAGGGAAAUACUCUUGACUCUUUUGACUCUCUUGACUCUUUUCCUAUUCUUCUCAGUUAAAGGUGGCCAUAUGAGUUGACACAAAUGGAAGAAUCGAAGAGAGGUUGUGAGUACAUGUCUUCUGGAAGUUACUUUCUCCACUUACCACUUCUGGUGCCAGGCAGCCUACCAUCCCCUCUGCUGCUGUUUACUACCACCAUUCAGAAGUGUUCUUCAAACUACAUCUUUUGAGCCUGGUAGCAUUUGUAUCAAAUUCACCUGGAGCUUCUAUUGUCCUAGAAGCUGACUGAAAUGUGGGUCAAGUCUGACAUCAAGUGGUCAGAUGCACGCUGUUCCCAAUGGGACAAUUACAGUGCCUCUCCUCCUGUCUUAUGAAGAACCUCCACCUCCACUUUUUCUCUCCAUGUUUUUUCUUCUUAACAUGAUUUCUUAG
rnacentral:lncRNA from 1 species